GUGCGAUUAUUUGAUUGUGAUUCUCUAGAUCAGGUGGUUAUACCGGUAUGAUUCUUCAAAUUAGGCAGUUGCGUCCAGAUAGGAAUGACAGCUGUUGCCAGUUGGUGCCUGCCUUGUCAAUCCUGAGCCUAAUCGGUCUGCUUUCAAGGAAAGAUCAAAAAAUAUGGUGUACCGACUAGGAGUUGAGACUGAUAGUUUUU
rnacentral:lncRNA from 1 species